AUUGAACGCUGGCGGCAGGCUUAACACAUGCAAGUCGAGCGGGGAAAUGUAGCUUGCUACAUUACCUAGCGGCGGACGGGUGAGUAAUGCUUAGGAAUCUGCCUAUUAGUGGGGGACAACAUUCCGAAAGGAAUGCUAAUACCGCAUACGUCCUACGGGAGAAAGCAGGGGACCUUCGGGCCUUGCGCUAAUAGAUGAGCCUAAGUCGGAUUAGCUAGUUGGUGGGGUAAAGGCCUACCAAGGCGACGAUCUGUAGCGGGUCUGAGAGGAUGAUCCGCCACACUGGGACUGAGACACGGCCCAGACUCCUACGGGAGGCAGCAGUGGGGAAUAUUGGACAAUGGGCGGAAGCCUGAUCCAGCCAUGCCGCGUGUGUGAAGAAGGCCUUUUGGUUGUAAAGCACUUUAAGCGAGGAGGAGGCUACUAGUAUUAAUACUACUGGAUAGUGGACGUUACUCGCAGAAUAAGCACCGGCUAACGCGGGGCCAGCCGCCGCCGUAACAC
rnacentral:rRNA from 1 species